GACGAACGCUGGCGGCGUGCUUAACACAUGCAAGUCGAACGGGAUCCGGGCUUUCGGGUUUGGUGAGAGUGGCGAACGGGUGAGUAACACGUGAGUAACCUGCCCCCUUCUUUGGGAUAACGUCGGGAAAUCGGCGCUAAUACUGGAUAUUCUUGCUGCAUCGCAUGGUGUGGUUUGGAAAGGGUUUCUGGUGGGGGAUGGGCUCGCGGCCUAUCAGCUUGUUGGUGGGGUGAUGGCCUACCAAGGCUUUGACGGGUAGCCGGCCUGAGAGGGUGUCCGGCCACACUGGGACUGAGACACGGCCCAGACUCCUACGGGAGGCAGCAGUGGGGAAUAUUGCACAAUGGGCGCAAGCCUGAUGCAGCGACGCCGCGUGAGGGAUGACGGCCUUCGGGUUGUAAACCUCUUUCGGUAUGGAACAAGGAUCCUUCUUUUGGGGGGUUUGAGGGUACGUGCAGAAGAAGCGCCGGCUAACUACGUG
rnacentral:rRNA from 1 species